rnacentral:lncRNA from 1 species
UCCAGCAGUAAUUAACAUAGGCCAGAUAACCUCAUUAAAAAGCAUGAGGAGCUUGGAGGAGCAAACCUUAGUGCUGAUCCUUUUGCAGACUCUUUCUAAUCCAUCUCUCAGAAGUCAAGAUUGGACCCUUGAGCCCAGCCAUGAAGUGAAGAAAUCCUGCAGAUGAAUCCAUGUCUCUCUGUUGCUGCUUAUGCCAGAACAGGCUCCCACUUGUUCGGUCAGGAUGACUCCAGUGUAACUCAUCUUGAUUACUGAUAGAGAGUCACCAAGCUUUAAAUUUACACAAAAAAGUCUUCUCUUAACCAGUUCUGGUCCAUGAGAAGGCACGUAUGAAGAGUCUGUCUUCUUAUGAAAAUGAUGCAGUAUAUGAAUUGUGUAAGUUUUUCCCACUCUUGGCCAUAAGUUGAAAUGAAUCUAGACCAAAGAGAAAUGCAACAAAGUUCUGCAUAUGAUGAGAAUCUACCAGGAAAAAUGCUAAAACUACACUACAAGUCAACCCAUUGGCACAUGCUGCAAGACAUUUUGUUGUUACAAGGAUGUUUAAAUUCAUUUGGAGUGUAAAGGCAGAAUGUAUAAAUUAAUGUAUGAGGCUGAAAAGGCAUCAAAGACAGAUUUGAAUGAGGUAAGAUUUGAUACAGGACAUUUUAUCAGUGUUUAUUGGCUCGUGGUAAUUUGAUAGCUGUGUUUUGCUAAAUUCAGCUGCAUUCCAUCAAUUGCAAAUGGGUCAGGGCAAAAUAGAUGUGUGAUAAAUGUUCAUGCUGAACACGAAGGCCUCAAAAAUUGAGUCUCUGGAAACCACACCUUCCAACAGUGGGGGGCAACAGUACCACAUGGAUAACAUUGUAUUGCCCCUGGGUGGCAAAGCCUGGGGAAGGAGAGUUUGAGGUCAUAAUGUGAGGUCUC